GACGAACGCUGGCGGCGUGCUUAACACAUGCAAGUCGAACGGAAAGGCCCUGCUUUUGUGGGGUGCUCGAGUGGCGAACGGGUGAGUAGCACGUGAGUAACCUGCCCUUGACUUUGGGAUAACUUCAGGAAACUGGGGCUAAUACCGGAUAGGAGCUCCUGCUGCAUGGUGGGGGUUGGAAAGUUUCGGCGGUUGGGGAUGGACUCGCGGCUUAUCAGCUUGUUGGUGGGGUAGUGGCUUACCAAGGCUUUGACGGGUAGCCGGCCUGAGAGGGUGACCGGCCACAUUGGGACUGAGAUACGGCCCAGACUCCUACGGGAGGCAGCAGGUGGGAAUAUUGCACAAUGGGCGGAAGCCUGAUGCAGCAACGCCGCGUGCGGGAUGGCGGCCUUCGGGUUGUAAACCGCUUUCGCCUGUGACGAAGCGUGAGUGACGGUAAUGGGUAAAGAAGCACCGGCUAACUACGUG
rnacentral:rRNA from 1 species